rnacentral:lncRNA from 1 species
CAUUCAGAUGUGUGUGGCACACCUCAUCCAAUCCAACACUCCAAUUAGCAUAGACUUCCUCAUCCAUCUGAUCCAGAACCUCCAAUACACACUCACACACCUGCAACACCUGCUGUGCCUCAGGACUGUCUAACGGCCUAACACAUACAGAAUGCGGCAGACACUGUCAAAAAUGGCACAAGAAGCAACAUUUUGUGUAUGUCUUAUAAUUAUGUUGAGGUUACCAGCAACGGCGGGCAUGUUUUUACCAAGGACGGGGUAUCCGCUCCUCAUCUGCACCGAAACACAAACAAACAACAGCACAAAAGUCUACCCCCAGCAACUCUUCAUAAACCCUCAUUUGAAAACCACUGCUUCAUUCUCUAAUUAUUAGUCACACAAACCUUCUCCCUCUGGGUGUCCAGGAUGCGCUGACAGAGAUUGACCUCCUCCUGGAACAUGACCAGCAGCUGAGAGUAGUUUGGAGCAAAAAGCUGGUGAACCCUCGGCCUCUCCAACAAAGUACCAAACAUCUGCAGGAGCUACAAACACAGGCUUUCAAUGUUAGAGGCUUAGAGACAGGAUUUUCGCACACACUGAAUUAAAUAAUGACAAUAAUAAACCUUGUGUUUUGCUGUCUGUUCAUUCAUUACUGAGCGUGUGUGUGUGUGUGUGUGUGUGUGUGUGUGUGUGUGCAUGCAAGUGUGUGCAUGAUACCUUAAAAGCAGAC